rnacentral:lncRNA from 1 species
AAAAAUAAAAUAAAAUAAAAUAAAAUAAAAAAUACAAAAAAAUAAAAUAAAGUAAAAUAAAAUAAAAUAAAAUCAAAUCAAAUAAGAUAAAAUAAAAUAAAAUCAAAUAAAAUAAAAUAAAAUAAAAUCAAUUCAAAUCAAAUCAAAUCAAAUCAAAGAAAAUCAAAUAAAAUAAAAUCAAAACAAAAAAAAAUUCAGAAACUGGGUUGCCUCCCAAGAAACGCUCUUUUUAUGUCACUAGCUUGACC